GCCAGUUUAGCUCAGUUGGUAGAGCAUCUGAUUUGUAAUCAGAGGGUCGUUGGUUCAAGUCCGACAACUGGCACCA
rnacentral:tRNA from 2 species